rnacentral:other from 1 species
CGUCCUCUGCUGUGCCCGACAGCGUGCGCCAACAUUUCGCCUUGACCCAUAAAAACGGCCCGGGAAUCCCGCUUCAUCGCCGGUGUGCAUGUCCGCCCUGCCGCGGAAAGCCUGAAGUCGAUGACGGCAUUCCCACUUGAUCCUCGGGAUCAAGGUCGUUGCGCACGCAUCGGCACGGCGGAGGACGU